rnacentral:rRNA from 1 species
AGGACGAACGCUGGCGGCGUGCUUAACACAUGCAAGUCGAACGGAAAGGCCCGCUUGCGGGUACUCGAGUGGCGAACGGGUGAGUAACACGUGGGCAACCUGCCCUCAGCUUCGGGAUAACAUUUGGAAACAGGUGCUAAUACCGGAUAAUAACCUUUCAUCGCAUGGUGUGGGGUUCAAAGUUUUUCGGCUGGGGAUGGGCCCGCGGCCUAUCAGCUUGUUGGUGGGGUAAUGGCCUACCAAGGCGACGACGGGUAGCCGGCCUGAGAGGGCGACCGGCCACACUGGGACUGAGACACGGCCCAGACUCCUACGGGAGGCAGCAGUGGGGAAUAUUGCGCAAUGGGCGGAAGCCUGACGCAGCGACGCCGCGUGAGGGAUGACGGCCUUCGGUUGUAAACCUCUUUCAGCUCUGACGAAGCGCAAGUGACGGUAGGAGCAGAAGAAGCACCGGCCAACUACGUGCCAGCAGCCGCGGUAA